GACAGAAAUAUAAAUUACAAAAAUGUACUGUUUAUCACAUUGUUUAAAACAGAAGUCAUUUCAAACAUAUUUUUUGGUAAAAAAAUUUAGACUAUGUUUAAAAAUAAAAAUAAGAUGUCGUAUGAUUUACAAUGAGACAACUUUCCAUCAGGAAAUGACAUAAAAUUGAACAACAAUUGGUCUACGCAUGGGCUUCAAAAAUGCGCAAAACCCUAACUGCAUAUAUCAAGCUUUAAAAGGCACAAAGUGAGACAUGUAAAUGAAUUCAAGCGAGCUGACAACAAACGAACCGAUUCAUGUACAAAACAAUUAACCAAAAUCAGAUAUAAUAUAAAGAAAAAAACCCAUUGAAUUACAGGAUACUGACCUCUGACAGGCACUUACAUAAUGCGGCGGGUAUAGAUAUGUAUGGUAGCGCAAAACCCUCCUUUAACAUUGGACAUUAGCAAAAAAGUACAACAUUAAAAGUAAAAUAACCCAAAUACCGAACUCCUAGGGAAAUUCAAAACGGAGAAUUCCUUACUAAACGGCAAAUAAUAAAGUCAACCAAAAAGAAAAUUGUGAAACAUUGCUUCAGUUAUGCGUACUAUGAUGUAAGACUUAACCUGCAUCCUUGACAAUUAAAUCCAGGAGAAAACGUGAUUCAUGAAAUAUGAAAGUUCUUUUUACCAAUAUGCACAUUAGUUAAGGAAAACUGUACUUAAAAGUACAACAAAUUUUUUUCUAAAAUUGUAUCACUUCCUAUUCUUACUCUACACCAAAAUUGUAGUUCUCCAUAGCCUUAUUUUACACUGGACUAUAUCUCCCCUAGUCCUACUCAAAUUAUACUGGAACAUUAUUCAAGGGUGUCACUUUUAGUUUAUCAUUUUUGCUAUAACAAUGAACUUUUGAUGUAAAUUAAACUUACAACAACCUUCAGUAAUUUUAUUAGAAUCAAAAAUUCUAUUGUGUAUACCUUUAGUUAAGCAAAUUGAAAUCCAAAACGUUACUACAGACACUACAAUAACAGACGAGUUGGGAUAUACGUGUUAAAGAGUGAUAAAACACGUUUACAAUAUUUGGGUAUAAAUCAAAUCAAAUCAAAUAUGUUAUUAUGAUCAUGGUCCCACAGGUGGCAUUUACAAUUAACUAUUAUGAUAGUAUAAGAAACAAACUUGUGACAUUGAACAGUUUAUAACGUAACAGAUAUUAUUAUAGACCAAUGAAAACAGCAAUAAUAACAAUAAUACUUUAGAAGAACUCUUGAGUAUUUUGUUCUUCCUUCGUUUUUACCAUAACUAUUUCUAUGGACAGCAGUGCACAAA
rnacentral:lncRNA from 1 species